rnacentral:lncRNA from 1 species
GUUAUAAAUUAAGCAUUGAAAUGAUCAUCCAUUUCUUUACCAAACUCAAGCACUAUGAUCAUCCACUCCUUUACCAACUCAAGCACUAUGAUCAUCUACUCAUCAAACACUAUGAUCACCCACUCAUUUACCAAAUUAAUCACUAUCUUUGUUAUUUUAUGUAUUGUUGUUCACUAUAAAUAUCAUCACUCAUCUCACUCUUUUGUACACCAUAAACAAGAACAAGAGUAAUUCAUCAAAGAAUCAUUACAUUUUCUUCUUCCUUCUUAUAAUAAACUCUCUC